rfam:TPA: Bos taurus chromosome 14, whole genome shotgun sequence.
UCUCUCCUGGCUCAGCUGGUAAAGAAUCCGCCUACAAUGUGGGAGACCUGGGUUCGAUCCCUAGGUUGAGAA